GCAUUUGAGUCGUCCUCGACUAUAAAAGAAGGGCUCAGACGUAAGAACAAAGGACAUGCAUUUCUCCCGAGAACUUCUAGAAUGAUUUUAAGAGAGAAACUGAGUGACCUCGAUACUCAUUGUAUAGCGAGCUUAAUUCGAUAAUUGGACUCGCCUCGCAUUUGUAACCUCUUUUUCGAUCUCGAUUUACUUUUAACAGAAACGAGAAUUCCGACCUACUUUGUCCAUGAUCUGUUCAUUAAUCACUUACUAGAACCUCGCAC
rnacentral:lncRNA from 1 species